AUACGACUGUCGGCAACGGAUAUCUAGGCUCUCGCAUCGAUGAAGAACGUAGCAAAAUGCGAUACUUGGUGUGAAUUGCAGAAUCCCGUGAAUCAUCGAGUUUUUGAACGCAAGUUGCGCCCGAGGCCAUCCGGCCGAGGGCACGUCUGCCUGGGCGUCACGCAUCUCGUCACCACCCCAGCCCAAGCCUGCUUCGCGUAGGCU
rnacentral:rRNA from 1 species